rnacentral:lncRNA from 1 species
UUUCUCACGGCAUUCUCUGUCUCACACUCCCUGUCCCUCCCCACAGGCCUCCCUGCAUACUUGAAAGCUUCCUGAAUGAAGAGCAGAGCCAUGUUUCAUAGUUCGGGCGAUUGAGAAAGAAGCAUGAAUUCUUCUAAAAUCAAGAGACACUAGCCUAAGAGCAAUGUAUCCUGAAUAAGGAGCCCUCUGCAAACAUGUGACAGCAGGUCUCGUGGCUAAUGCAUACAAAAGUCACCUAGAGAACGCUACAACUCUGCAGGGCCGAGACUGAGCGUCCACAGGCCAUCUCCAUCCAUGUGGCCCCUGUGCUUGUUGUGUUCCAACCUUAAGGACUUACAUCGAGAAGCAGUUUUCACACCCACACCACAGGGAAACUUUUACAGGCUUCAGUUCAUAAAGACUGAAAACUCAGCCGAAAGCUCAGGCUGUUUGGAGGUGCAAUGGAAGCAAAGUAAGACUUUGAUGUGACAAGUCCCAGCUGAGGUGGACCAGCCUGUGGGGACUCAGGACUCUCUGCGUAGG